GAUUUCUGGUCGACUCAUCUGGUCCGGUCAGGAAACUGACUGUGUGUCGGAUCGGGUCUGCCAUCCAUGUGGAGAGGUCACUGCCGGCGAAAGUCGGUCGGUGUUCUGAUCUACAUCUUUUACUUUGAAAAAAUUAGAGUGUUUAAAGCAGGCUUUUGCUAUGAAUACAUUAGCAUGGAAUAAUAAUCUAGGACUUCGGUUCUAUUUUGUUGGUUUCUAUAACUGAAGUAAUGAUUGAUAGGGAUAGUUGGGGGUGCUAGUAUUGGCCGGCCAGAGGUGAAAUUCUUGGAUUCGGUCAAGACUAACUUAUGCGAAAGCAUU
rnacentral:rRNA from 1 species